UACGUAGGGGGCAAGCGUUGUCCGGAUUUAUUGGGCGUAAAGAGCGUGUAGGCGGCCAGGUAGGUCAGCUGUGAAAACUCGAGGCUCAACCUCGAGACGUCGGUUGAAACCAUCUGGCUAGAGUCCGGAAGAGGAGAGUGGAAUUCCUGGUGUAGCGGUGAAAUGCGCAGAUAUCAGGAAGAACACCCGUGGCGAAGGCGGCUCUCUGGGACGGUACUGACGCUGAGGCACGAAAGCGUGGGGAGCAAACAGG
rnacentral:rRNA from 1 species